CACAUCCUUUUUACGUAACAAGGAGACUCGUCAAGAGUAUUAGCUGAAACGCGGCCAUAGUUGAGCAACGAGGAAGGCCGUUAUAUCGUAACGGCCACCGGUGUGUGCAGUACGGAAUGUGGAAUCGCGGAUGAAAAAACGUGUCACGAAUCCUUGACCUCCUCUCGUAUACACAAGGUGCUAGCUUAGGAGAGCACUUGGGCGAUCAACCACAAGAAAGAUGGCUACCUAAAUACUCUUAGAUUCUUCAAUCUCUUUUUCACGUAUAAUAGAAUUUCUUAGGUACAAUUGCGAACGCAAGGAACCUCGUUGACAAUCGAUUUGGAAAAUGAAGCAACAGACUUAGCGCGUUUGUCUUUCGAUAUAAUCGAUUUCCAUCACUUUGAAGUCUUCUUGACUGUGCUUCUACGAUAAGACUAGAAGGAAAGCAUGUUCGAUCGUAUAUUACUUGAAGAAAAAGAGAGAGAAAGAGAGAGAGAGAGAGAGAGAGAGAGAGAGAGAGAGAGAGAGAGAGAGAGAGAAAGCUCUUCCAUCUUCUACGUAUGCUGUUACGUUAACUUAUGGAAAGAUAUGACCGCUCCAAUGCCUUCUGAAAUUGAAUUACACGCAUGGUGAUCCACGUAAAAGAGGUGGCUACCUGUGCAUGCAGAAUGAGGACAUGUUAAGGCACUAUUUGUAUUACAUGUAAACUGGAGAAUGUUUGGUUGGAUGCCAAGGAAAAAAGUAAGAUUCUCCAAAUAAUCGCAAAAUCCACUCUGAUAUCCUAUCUUAAUCCUUUUUUUCUUUUAAUUUUUAAUGAAAAAAAUAAAACGAUAUUACCGUAAUUUUUAAAAAUGAAAAACUUAUUGUUACAUAUAUGUUACAUUAAACUAUAAUUUAUUAGUACAUAUAUAUUGUAAUUUUGCAACGUCAUGGAUUUAAUCUCAUUGUUAUCAUGAAUUUAUUAUAAAAAAUUAUAAUUAUUGUUUCUCUCGUAGAAAACUUCUUUGUUCUUUAUAAAAUAUCUAUAUAUACAAGAGUAUAAUAGUUCUUGUCAAAUCAGAUGUCUAAAUAGUAAACGUUUAAUUAAAUCGAUACGAUUACACGUGUUGUAUAUUAUCCGAUUGGAAAGACAGUUUCUUUACAUUUUGAAAAUAAUAUAUUUUAUAAACAUGUUGCAUCCUGUGAGCCACGCGAGUAUGUAACAGCCUAAUGGAAAUAUGUAUGGAGAAUGCGUGACAAGAAUCCAUGGCCUAUACAGACAGAUCUGUUUAGCUUCCGGUGUUUAUCGUAUCCUAACGAGCUUUGUAGUACUCAGCCUUACAGAUAAGGACAGCUCGUGAAUGAUGCACCUCCCUUUCCUCUCCACACGUUACCUUUUAUGGAUGUUUUACGAUAUACGUUCACAAGUGUACGCGUGUUGGGCGUCAAAUGAAUGAAUUUCCAUGUGGCACUACGUAAUCGUAUAUUCUAAGUAUUCAAAUGAAAGAAUAAAAUGAUUUCCUCUUUGUAUAAAAUUAAUAACUUGGUAAGAAAAAAAAAGAAAUAAAAAUAAAAAUGAAAGAAAGACAAAAAGAAAGAAAGAAAGAAAGAAAGAAAAAUAAAGAUAAAAAUUUUUUUUUUCAAUCAUCACCAACGAUAAGACGAACGAUUCAAUGUAAAAUCGUGUUUAUAUUUGAGCCAAUUACCGAAUGAAAUAGAAUUUAAUUAAAUAAGCU